CCUACGGGACGCACCAGUAGGGAAUCUUCGGCAAUGGACGAAAGUCUGACCGAGCAACGCCGCGUGAGUGAAGAAGGUAUUCGGAUCGUAAAACUCUGUUGAUAGAGAAGAACAAGUAGGAGAGUAACUGCUCUUACCUUGACGGUAUCUAACCAGAAAGCCACGGCUAACUACGUGCCAGCAGCCGCGGUAAUACGUAGGUGGCAAGCGUUGUCCGGAUUUAUUGGGCGUAAAGCGAGCGCAGGCGGUCUGUUAAGUCUGAUGUGAAAGCCCUCGGCUCAACCGAGGAAGGUCAUUGGAAACUGGAGGACUUGAGUGCAGAAGAGGAGAGUGGAAUUCCAUGUGUAGCGGUGUAAUGCGUAGAUAUAUGGAGGAACACCAGUGGCGAAGGCGACUCUCUGGUCUGUAUCUGACGCUGAGGCUCGAAAGCGUGGGGAGCAAACAGGAUUAGAUACCCUCGUAGUC
rnacentral:rRNA from 1 species